rnacentral:misc_RNA from 1 species
UCCCCGUUGCCGAGGCAGUCUCACUAGAAAAUACAACUAGUGACGGGGGUUGCGCUCGUUGAAGGACUUAACCUAACAUCUCACGACACGAGCUGACGACGACCAUGCAAUACCUGUCAUGCCAUUCCCCUUGCGGGGCACAGCUUUAUUUCUAAAGCCUUUGGCAGAUGUCAAGCCUUGGUAAGGUUCUUCGCGUGCCAUCGAAUUAAACCACACGCUCCACCGCUUGUGCGGGUCCCCGUCAAUUCCUUUGAGUUUUAGCCUUGCGGCCGUACUCCCCAGGCGGGAUGCUUAACGCGUUAGCUUCACUACCGAACGGGUCGAUACGUCCAGCAGUUAGCAUCCAUCGUUUACGGCGUAGACUAC